CCGUGCAGCCGGGGAGAUAGCGGUGCCCUGUACCUGCAAUCCGCUACAGCAGGGGUGAUGUCUUGCCCAGGGUGUUAUACUGUAGGGCAGCCCCUUAUAAGUGAUGUUGACGUUUGGGUCUUACGCAACAGGAAUUCGUGAAUCGUGUCAGGUCAGGAAUGAAGCAGCACUAAGCGAAAGCUCCUGUGUGCCGUGAGGGUGCCUGAGCCGAGUUAACUGUAUGGGUAACGCUUAUGGUAUACAUUCAAAGCAAGACGCACGG
rfam:Anaerocolumna xylanovorans DSM 12503 genome assembly, contig: EJ36DRAFT_scaffold00010.10